rnacentral:rRNA from 1 species
CUACGGGUCGCUGCAGUGGGGAAUAUUGGACAAUGGGGGAAACCCUGAUCCAGCAAUGCCGCGUGUGUGAAGAAGGCCUGCGGGUUGUAAAGCACUUUCGGUUGGGAGGACUGCUUCUAGCACUAAUAUUGUUGGAAGUUGACGUUACCUUCAGAAGAAGCACCGGCUAACUCCGUGCCAGCAGCCGCGGGAAUACGGAGGGUGCACGCGUUAAUCGGAAUUACUGGGCGUAAAGCGCGCGUAGGCGGCUAGAUCAGUCGGGUGUGAAAGCCCCGGGCUUAACCUGGGAACUGCAUCCGAUACUGUCUAGCUUGAGUACAGGAGAGGAGAGUGGAAUUCCACAUGUAGCGGUGAAAUGCGUAGAUAUGUGGAGGAACACCAAUGGCGAAGGCAGCUCUCUAGCCUGAUACUGACGCUGAGGUGCGAAAGCGUGGGGAGCAAACAGGAUUAGAUACCCCCGUAGUC